AAGUCGUAACAAGGUUUCCGUAGGUGAACCUGCGGAAGGAUCAUUAUCGAAUUGUAAGGACUCCAGUUGUCGCUGGCUCUCUAUGGGAGCAUGUGCACGCUGGGUUCAAACUCUUCAUUCUUAACCUCCUGUGCACCUUUUGUGGACUGUGGUCAGAUAACUCGUCGAGGUAACACUCGGUCUUGCGGAUCGCGCCUAAACCGCGCUUUCUGCUGCAUCUGACUGCGGUUCAUGUCUUACUACAAACUAUUAAUUAAAUCUAGAAUGUCUAAAGGUUGGGACUCGCGCCCUUCUUAAAUGUAAAUACAACUUUCAACAACGGAUCUCUUGGCUCUCGCAUCGAUGAAGAACGCAGCGAAAUGCGAUAAGUAAUGUGAAUUGCAGAUUUCAGUGAAUCAUCGAAUCUUUGAACGCACCUUGCGCCCUGUGGUAUUCCGCAGGGCAUGCCCGUUUGAGUGUUAUUAAAUCAUCAACUCUAAACACCUUGUGUGUCUAGUGCUUGGUCUUGAGGGUCUUGCAGGCGCCUGGACGUCUGCUCCCUUUAAAUCUAUUAGCGAGACUUCCCUUUGCUGACCGUCUCUUGGCGUGAUAGUUAUCUACGUCAAAACGAGCGGUUCUCGUUGGGCUUGCUUCUAAUCGUCUUAGGACAGCCGAUUUGGGUGCAUAUAUGCGCUCCAUUUCAAACCUUUUUUACCUCAAAUCGGGUAGGACUACCCGCUGAACUUAA
rnacentral:rRNA from 1 species